UACAGAGGUCCCGAGCGUUGUUCGGAUUCACUGGGCGUAAAGGGUGCGUAGGUGGUGAGGUAAGUCGGAUGUGAAAGCUCCGAGCUCAACUCGGAAAUGGCAUUGGAAACUACCUUGCUCGAGGGUUGGAGGGGGGACUGGAAUACUUGGUGUAGCAGUGAAAUGCGUAGAUAUCAAGUGGAACACCAGUGGCGAAGGCGAGUCCCUGGACAACUCCUGACACUGAGGCACGAAAGCGAGGGGAGCAAACA
rnacentral:rRNA from 1 species